AGAGUUUGAUCAUGGCUCAGGUUGAACGCUGGCGGCAGGCCUAACACAUGCAAGUCGAACGGUAGCACAGAGAGCUUGCUCUUGGGUGACGAGCGGCGGACGGGUGAGUAAUGUCUGGGAAACUGCCUGAUGGAGGGGGAUAACUACUGGAAACGGUAGCUAAUACCGCAUAACGUCGCAAGACCAAAGAGGGGGACCUUCGGGCCUCUUGCCGUCAGAUGUGCCCAGAUGGGAUUAGCUAGUAGGUGGGGUAACGGCUCACCUAGGCGACGAUCCCUAGCUGGUCUGAGAGGAUGACCAGCCACACUGGAACUGAGACACGGUCCAGACUCCUACGGGAGGCAGCAGUGGGGAAUAUUGCACAAUGGGCGCAAGCCUGAUGCAGCCAUGCCGCGUGUAUGAAGAAGGCCUUCGGGUUGUAAAGUACUUUCAGCGAGGAGGAAGGCGAUACGGUUAAUAACCGUGUCGAUUGACGUUACUCGCAGAAGAAGCACCGGCUAACUCCGUGCCAGCAGCCGCGGUAAUACGGAGGGUGCAAGCGUUAAUCGGAAUUACUGGGCGUAAAGCGCACGCAGGCGGUCUGUCAAGUCGGAUGUGAAAUCCCCGGGCUCAACCUGGGAACUGCAUUCGAAACUGGCAGGCUUGAGUCCUGUAGAGGGGGGUAGAAUUC
rnacentral:rRNA from 1 species